rnacentral:tRNA from 1 species
UGAACAUAGUUUAAAUAAAACACUAAGCUGUGGACUUAGCAACAGGGGGGCGGCCCCCCCUUGCUCACC